rnacentral:rRNA from 1 species
CCUGGUUGAUCCUGCCAGUAGUCAUAUGCUUGUCUCAAAGGUUAAGCCAUGCAUGUCUAAGUACACAUUUUUACACAAUGAAACUGCGAAUGGCUCAUUAAAUCAGCUAUGGUUCCUUAGAUCAUAGUUAUCCUACUUGGAUAACUGUAGUAAUUCUAGAGCUAAUACAUGCAACUAAGCCUUUCCUUUGCGGGACGGGCGCACUUAUUAGAUCAAAACCAACCGGACUUCGGUCUGACGGUUUGAUGACUCUGGAUAAUUUACCUGAUCGCACGGCCUUUGUGUCGGCGACGUAUCUUUCAAAUGUCUGCCCUAUCAACUUUUGAUGGUAGGUAAUUUGCCUACCAUGGUUAUAACGGGUAACGGGGAAUCAGGGUUCGAUUCCGGAGAGGGAGCCUGAGAAAUAGCUACCACAUCCAAGGAAGGCAGCAGGCGCGCAAAUUACCCACUCCCGAAACGGGGAGGUAGUGACGAUAAAUAACGAUGCGGGACUCAAUCGAGGCCCCGUAAUUGGAAUGAGUACACUUUAAAUCCUUUAACGAGGAUCAAUUGGAGGGCAAGUCUGGUGCCAGCAGCCGCGGUAAUUCCAGCUCCAAUAGCGUAUUGCCUGAAUAGUGUUGCAUGGAAUAAUGAAAUAGGAGUUUACUUCUACUUUGUUGGUUUUCGGAGGUGAACUAAUGAUUAACAGGGACAGACGGGGGCAUUUGUAUGGAGGGGUUAGAGGUGAAAUUCUUGGAUCCUCUCCAGACAAACUACUCCGAAAGCAUUUGCCAGGAAUGUUUUCACUAAUCAGGAACGAAAGUCAGAGGUUCGAAGACGAUCAGAUACCGUCCUAGUUCUGACCAUAAAUGAUGCCAUCUAACAAUCCACGAAGUUUGCUUGUACGAACUCGUGGGCGGUCCCCGGGGAACCAAAGAUUUUGGGUUCCGGGGGAAGUAUGGUUGCAAAGCUGAAACUUAAAGGAAUUGACGGAAGGGCACCACCAGGAGUGGAGCCUGCGGCUUAAUUUGACUCAACACGGGAAACCUCACCCGGCCCGGACACUUUUAGGAUUGACAGAUUGAAGGCUCUUUCUUGAUCAAGUGGUUGGUGGUGCAUGGCCGUUCUUAGUUGGUGGAGCGAUUUGUCUGGUUAAUUCCGAUAACGAACGAGACUCUACUCUGCUAAAUAGAACGUUGAUAUAUAAAAGUCAGUGCUGACUUCUUAGAGAGACUAACGGCGUUUAGCCGUGUGAGAAAGAGCAAUAACAGGUCUGUGAUGCCCUUAGAUGUCCAGGGCCGCACGCGCGCUACACUGACUGCAGCAACUAGUAUGCUCCUGGUUUGAAAAAACUGGGUAACCUGGUUGAAUUGCAGGCGUGACAGGGAUCAGAGUUUGCAAUUAUCCUCUGUGAACGAGGAAUUCCCAGUAAGCGCAAGUCAUUAGCUUGUGCUGAUUACGUCCCUGCCCUUUGUACACACCGCCCGUCGCUACUACCGAUUGAAUGGUUUAGUGAGGUCUUCGGAUUGGUGCUGAUGGAGUGGUUCUCUGCUCUGUUAGUGCCGAGAAGAUGAUCAAACUUGAUCAUUUAGAGGAAGUAAAAGUCGUAACAAGGUU